rnacentral:rRNA from 2 species
UGGGGAAUCUUGCGCAAUGGGCGAAAGCCUGACGCAGCCAUGCCGCGUGAAUGAUGAAGGUCUUAGGAUUGUAAAAUUCUUUCACCGGGGAAGAUAAUGACGGUACCCGGAGAAGAAGCCCCGGCUAACUUCGUGCCAGCAGCCGCGGUAAUACGAAUGGGGCUAGCGUUGCUCGGAAUUACUGGGCGUAAAGGGCGCGUAGGCGGACAGUUUAGUCAGAGGUAAAAGCCCAGGGCUCAACCUUGGAACUGCCUUUGAUACUGGCUGUCUUGAGUUCGGGAGAGGUGAGUGGAAUGCCGAGUGUAGAGGUGAAAUUCGUAGAUAUUCGGCGGAACACCAGUGGCGAAGGCGACUCACUGGCCCGAUACUGACGCUGAGGCGCGAAAGCGUGGGGAGCAAACAGG